CGGGCGAAGUCUUCCUGCAGCCGGAGUCGGGGACGAAGUCCGGCUCCCGUAGAAGUCCGGGCGAAGUCUAGAAGGGGUCGAUCAUCGUGAAAACUUGGGUGGAGUCUAUCCGUUGCGAAGAAUCCGGUCGACGCUGGUGGGGGCUUAUCCGUCGGCAAAACUUGGGAGUGUUGCGGAGGCUCAACCGCCAGAGAGGUUCGGAGAGAUG
rnacentral:lncRNA from 1 species